rnacentral:lncRNA from 12 species
AUGCCCCGAGGGGGCCGCCCCGGCUUCCACCUGCCCCGCGGGGGCCCCUGCGCGCCCAGCAGCCGGCCCGGCCUUGACCUGGCCCCGCGGGCACCGCGAUGCCACGAUGCCCCGGGUGCCGAGGCGGGUUUGCUGGGCUCCAGGCCGAGCGGGCCGGACCGGUCCGGGCCGGGCCUGGGGCUCCGAUCCUCCUGCUCACGCUCCACCUUUCCUGGCUUUGGUCCAGUGGGUUUACGUGGAAGUUCAGGGGAAAGCGGGAAGGCCGGAGCCUGGGGACGACGGCCCCGUCGGCCCUGGGGGUGCCCCCCACCCGGGGGCGGGGCCGAGCCGCCUGGAGCCGCGGGCGGGUACGAGCUGGGGCUUCGCAGGCGGGUCCCCGGGUGGCCGGGGGGCGGAGGCGGGGGCGGGGCGUGGCGAAAGGCUGGAGGGGGCCAGACACCGCCCGGCGCCCCUAAGCCGGCGGGCCCCGGAGCGCGCGCUGCCGGGCGUGGUUCCCGGGGCUCCGCGCCGCGUCUCCCGCCGCUCGCGGGGUGCCGUGGUCUCUGCCGUGGGCUGCUGCGCUGGACACGGGGCGCGGCGGCGGUUCUCGCUCGUCGCGGGCCCGGCCUCCCGACGGGGGGCGCUCGGCACCCAGGGCGGGGGCCGCGGAGGGCGGCGGUCGCGGUCUCGGUCUCUCUCUCUCUCCCCCGGGCGGGCGGGCCUCGCGCCGGAGCCUCCCCGCGGCAGCACCAGGGGGCAGCAGAGGCCCGGGGCUGGGCGGCUCUGCCCGGGUCCCAGCCGGGGGGCCUGCGGGUGUGGACGCCGGGCCUCCCGCACCUGCCGGCUGCUCCCUGCGGCGCCUUGGGAUGCAGCCGAGGGCAGGGCCAGCGCCUCCCGGGUCCGCGGCCACCUCCCCGUCGGGGGCGUCGUGCACCCGAGGUCCAAGCCCUAAGGCACAGCCAGUUCCUGGGCUGCUGGCGUCCCGGGGGCCCCGCGCCGGGCCCGGGAUGCGGAGGACAGAAGCCCAGGAGCUGCGAGCUUCGCGGGAGGGACCUGGACGGCCGAGAACAGAGACACCUCGACUCGACCCGACCCGCGACCCCGAACAGUCCAGUCCAGUACGUGCCCGCCGCGUGGUGCCGCUGA